GCCUUCUUAGCUCAGGGGUAGAGCACUUCCUUGGUAAGGAAGAGGUCGUCGGUUCAAAUCCGAUAGAAGGCU
rnacentral:tRNA from 1 species